UUUAUUCUCAUUAUGUUGGGUUCUGCAGGGGAGUGUUUUCUCUACAUUUUCAGGGUGGCAGGCUGAUGGGAUCCAGCUGGUGCUCAUAAUCUCCAAUCAGCAAGGGCCUUUAGUAGGAGCGGCUUCCCGGAAGAAGAUGCUAGAUGGUUCUGCUUCUACAGUGUACCAGCUUUGACCGCUCUCUGAGAUUCGGAUCCACCUGGACUACCUUACCCUCGCUGUUUUGCUCGGCCUAGCCCCAGGAUUCCUCCAUAACCACCACCCUGCUGCUGCCUGUCCACCCUCAGUUGCCUGCUGGAACUCCUCCACCUCAAUGCCCCAACUGUUGUACCCUCCUCUGCUCAUCAGAACCCUCAAACCGUAAGCCAUCACCGGGUUACACCAUCAUUCCCGUCAUUAUUCCUCUGUCUAACCGCUCACCCAUUUCUCAGUUCCUCCUCUGGCCCGGUUCCUCCCUGCUGCCGCUGAUCUACACCUCUCCAUCCUCCCUCCAUUUACACCUUAUUGUUUAAUAAAUCUGUUAAACUG